CGGGAGCUGCCUGGGGAGGACAAGGGGUGCCCAGCCUGGCCGGGGAUGCUCGGGGAGGCGGGAGUCGGGCAGGAGUAGCUGGAGGAAGGGAGGAGCGGUUUUACAGCCAUAAUCCCACUCUUUGGUGAGGCUGGGACAGGCUUCAUUGUCUCUUGCAUUUCUUGGGGAUGCCUGAUGUUAAAAGUCCUGCCAGUGAAGCAUUAUUUUCUGGAGUGGAACACAGAUCUUCCCAGGGUACCAGGGCUUAUGACUGACUCCGUUGAUGAAGCAAAUCUCAGACCUGACUUAAAUAACUGAGUAAAUAAAAAACCUGGUUUUGAAGCACCUAAAUUGG